AACGAACGCUGGCGGCAGGCUUAACACAUGCAAGUCGAACGCAUCCUUCGGGAUGAGUGGCAGACGGGUGAGUAACGCGUGGGAACGUGCCCUUCAGUUCGGAAUAACCCAGGGAAACUUGGGCUAAUACCGGAUACGUGCGAGAGCAGAAAGAUUGAUCGCUGAAGGAGCGGCCCGCGUCUGAUUAGCUAGUUGGUGAGGUAACGGCUCACCAAGGCGACGAUCAGUAGCUGGUCUGAGAGGAUGAUCAGCCACACUGGGACUGAGACACGGCCCAGACUCCUACGGGAGGCAGCAGUGGGGAAUAUUGGACAAUGGGCGCAAGCCUGAUCCAGCCAUGCCGCGUGAGUGAUGAAGGCCUUAGGGUUGUAAAGCUCUUUCGCACGCGACGAUAAUGACGGUAGCGUGAGAAGAAG
rnacentral:rRNA from 1 species